rnacentral:rRNA from 1 species
UACAGAGGUCUCAAGCGUUGUUCGGAUUCAUUGGGCGUAAAGGGUGCGUAGGCGGCGCGGUAAGUCGGGUGUGAAAUCUCGGAGCUUAACUCCGAAACUGCAUUCGAUACUGCCGUGCUUGAGGACUGGAGAGGAGACUGGAAUUUACGGUGUAGCGGUGAAGUGCGUAGAUAUCGUAAGGAAGACCAGUGGCGAAGGCGGGUCUCUGGACAGUUCCUGACGCUGAGGCACGAAGGCCAGGGGGAGCAAACGGG